UCUGAAGAGGGAAGCAGUGAGAAAAGGUGCACUGAAGAACAAAGAAUCAGGGUAACGUUUGAAAGCUGAAGAAAAAUGAAGGAAGGAGACAUAAAUGGCAAAGAUUCCAGGCAAAGGAGCAAAGGUCCAUUAAUAACCAGAGAUGUCCAGAAUACCAGCCCCUGCAAGAGGAGAGGACUCCCUCACUAUGCUGCAGCUUUACCAGAAGGAGAAACCAGUUUUCUUUCAGCUGAGCAGUGUUUGGUCUGCAGCUCAUAUGACAGAAUCAGUGUAUAAUGUUAUGUCAUAGCAUCAUGUGAUAGCGCCUGCUCAUGCACUGAUGCAACAGCAUGUGGUAGAAACAUCCUGUGUCACCACACUCAGUUUACAAUGCAAUUAGAAAGCUGAUAGCCGUGGUUGUAGGCAUACUCAAAACAGCUUCAAGCCAGGGCACUUGGAUACCAGUGGCAAUGAAACAGUAUCACCGCUCAGGAAGAAAGCGUGUGCUGAAGCCUUUGCAGCGAGCUCCAGUUUGCCUGACACAUUCUUGUGCCACUUGCCCUGGUUAUGUAAUACUGAAAACAUCUAAUGGUUUAUGAUUACUAUUGCAAUGCAUGUUACAGCCUUCCUGCAAUUACACCCUCAAUUACAAUGAAGAUGUAUGAGCCAACAGAGAGCCCUCUAUUUUGCAGGAUAUAGCAUAGACCUAUAAAAACUGGAGCUAUUGCAUGAAUUCAGACUAAGGGUCUCUGUCUCUUCUGGCCUGUCAUCAAUGAAAGGGAGGAAGGAAGGAAGAAAUAAGGAAGGAAAUGGGAUUCAGAAAGGAAACUUGCAGUCCUGGAAUCUUUCCAUGAUUUUUUUUUUUUUCCUGAGGAAUUAAAAUUGCUGCUCAAACAGCUAAAGUUAUUCAUUGUGAAGAAUCCUUGAAGGUACUCAGUGCUCUUGCACUGGCUUUUCUGAAAAUUCCUUCCAAUUCAAGAAUCACUUCUUGAUUUGCCAUUUUGCUGCAUCUUAUCACCCUAUCACGACAACAUCUUUGCAUUACUUUGUAAGAUGUUGACUCCAAAAAAAUCUGGUGUUGCAAAGUAAUAUGACAAUAUGAGGAUAGAUCUUGAUGGUGUAGUACCUCCUCUCAUAUAGCAAUAAAUAGAAAAUGGGUAAAGCUACUUUUUGAUGC
rnacentral:lncRNA from 1 species